GAGAUUUGGCAAUUGAAUUGCAUGCAUUUUUGCAUGUAAUUAGGCUAUAAAUAGAGAUGUUUUCAAAUGUUGAAGGACUUUUGCCUCUUUUAUCAUUUUCAUCAUCUCAACAAAAGAAAAAAGAAAGCUUCCAAUCUCAUUUUAUCUCCAUUACUUUCUACACCAAAAUUGGGUCCCACAACCCGGUUCUUUGUCUAGAGGAUAGCAGUUGAGUACUAGUGGUGGUCUCGGGUAGAAUUGGUAAGAAGACAUCAAACCUUUUGAAAGCUUCAAAGGUAAUACUUCUUAAAACCCUAAUUUGAUUAGUUUAUGGUUACAUGUUAAUUGUGGCAAUUAGGGUAGAAAUUCGAUUCUUUUUCCGCUGUGCAUGACUUAGUUCUAUCAAAAAGUACUUCAUCCCCACCAAGAACAGGGGGCUGCAUGGGCCAACUUGGAGUCUGAAUAGACCAUGAAAGAGAGUCCAGAUGAACUACAAGUGUAAAGAGUUCAUUCUUCUUCUUCUACGGUCAUGCUAUGAGAGAGAGCUUGGAGCCUGAGUAGAGAAGAAAACCAUUCCCAUUUGUUUCCUAACUUGUAAAUUGUUUCAUUGUUCUGUCUUCCAUUUUUAUAUUUUUUGUGAUGUGUACUGUGCAUAUCGUAUGUUAGCCUGCAACCUACCUUCUUUGUAUAUAUUAAAUGUUUAUGUCUUUUCAAUCAAACAUUCCUUCAUUUUCCACCAGUCAAUGUGUUAUUUGUAGCUUAGCUAGAUGAUAAGUUCUUGAUAAGAAGUGUUACUUAUAAGUCUUAUCGUGUUAGUCGAGCUAUUCUCAUCGCGUGGCUAGCGUAAGUGGCAACUACCCGAGAAAAAAAGUAGCUAGGACCUAACUAACGCAUACAGGGAGGAGCUUUUCCUUUCCUCACGAGAGAAUUUCAAACAUUUGUAUCCCAGAAGGAGAACACUUGUAGACAAUGGGAACCGAGUGGUUACAGUCUUAAUUGCGAAAUCCUAUAUGAUUUAUAAGCAGUCCCUUCUAGAUAUAACUCUUCAAUUCGUACUUAGUCAUAUAAAUCUCUGAAAGCGACCAUGUGUAACAUAUAAUGACUUCGAGAGAAGCAGGCCUUAAUAAUAAGUAUGGUUUAGUGAGUUACAUCGUAUCAAGUUUAUCUUAAUACUUAUUUCCAAGAUAACACGUAUGCAUUCCUUCCUCCGUUUCUCUGAUACAAAUUAGUUCGCAUUACCAUACCAUUUUCUUCUCCCCUCUUUACAAACUCUUGCUACUUAGUUUAGUCAUUGAGUUUAGUUUAGCAUUUCUUACAUGUUUCAUUCUUUAAUUCUUUCACAUCAACUAAAUGAGGAGUAAUUCCUAGAACUAAUAUCUUGAAGUAAUUUUCUGUAUCUAACCCUGAAUCACCCAGAUAAACCUGUUGUUUUGCUUGCACUUGGGAUAACAGUAGGAAAACUUGUACUCAAUGAGAAUUUAGCUAUUACGCGAUGAAAAGGGAUAUAGUGAGCAUUUUGCAUGUCAUGAUAAUACCCCAUGUCUUAUCACCUUGAAUUAAUCACACAAUACAGAAAGAUAUGGUGAGCAUCUUCAGCACAAUGAACCUACUUAGAGAUGUAUUGUAAUUGUAUUAGACACAUGCGAAACAACUAAGUCCACAUACAAAACCCCAGUUCACUCGCGUGUAAGGCAAGAUACACACAAGGGGGUGCAUGGCCAGGAGGCGCGCGAUAAGCCCUACACGGAACGGGGUUGCGUGGGACGUUAGACACUUGGCUAGGGUGAGGCGCACAACAAACCUCAUUUGAGGCUAGGGUGAGAUUGGCCAAGGUCUGCCGCCCACCCAUGCGUGCCAGACGGUGUCAUGAGGUGUUUUUUGGUAGUUUUUGGUGGUUUUUGGAUUUUGUGAGUAGACUUUUGAUAUUUUCUUCGUAAAAGAGAAUUAAUUGGAUGAUUUUACCAUUAUUUUAGGUCAGGAAGAGAUCAGGCAAAUUUAUAGAUCAAGGAUUUGAGCAUGUAUCUAUGAGUGAAAAAUGAUUUAUUAAAGUGAUUUCAAGCAUGUUAUUAAGCUAUGAUUUAUGAAUGAUUUGUAUUAAAUGUUUAAGAUAUUUAAGGAAUUCAAGCAUGUUAUUGUUAAAGGUAUUUAUUCAAAAUUAUUGUUUACUGAGGAAUGUUUAAGAAAUGAGUUCAAAGGUUAUGUAGAGGAUUCUUAGAGGAAUUUAAAGUUUAAGGUUAAAGGUUUUAUAAAAAAAAUUUCAGAACCAAGAUGUCUCAAAAUAACCCUUAACGAGCCAGAAUUAAUGGGCGUUGAGAAAUUGAGGUAAGGAAACUUAUCUCCAGGAUUGAAGCUAGGGACACUUAUCUUCCAAGAACAAAGAUUGAGGAUGCCCAUCUCUGAGGUUUGGAGUUAGUAUCAAGUAAUCUCUACCACCUCCCAAGAGUAGAUACUUGGGUUUCAAGCAGGAAAAAUAAGACUUCAUGUUACUGUUUCUAAAUGCUUUGAGGUUUAAGCUUUCAUGUUAUGAUUUAACGUUUACUGUUUCAAGGAUUUAUGAAUUAUUGUUUCGAAAAGUUUAUGAAAGUUAUUUUGAAACUAUCACUCACUGAACUCGUUUAGCUCACACUCUUCAAAAUGUUUUCCCAGUUUUCAGAUAGAGAUCGUGGCCCCCGAGCCUAAAUCAUUGUUAUUUGUCAGCUGAAGGGUUUCAUUUUGUUAUUGUAUGUGUCAUGUUAUUUUCUAUUUUUUGUUCAGUUAGUCUUUUAUGAUGUUAGACUUAGGUUUUUAGAAAGGUUGUUUUGGGUUUGUAAUUAAGGUUAUGUUCUGUCUAUAAAACUUGUAUAAAGUUGUAAAAUAAAAGGGAUUUACCUAGUUGUGAUUGGAUUUUAUGUGUUAGUUUUCGUUGUUGUUUACUAUUUAUGGGUUUAAGUUGAGGGUCAUCUUGUGUUGUUCUUGGAGAGUAGACGAUAUUGGUUGACUUCAUGUCAUAUCUCAAGCCAAGCAAGCAGGUGCUCGGGGUGGGGUGUGACAAAACUAAGCGAGGAACUGUUAUGUGUUUUGCGCUUACGUAAUUUAGGAUCAAAAUGUGGCAGUGACACGUGGCAUUUUGACAUUGGACAAUUCUCACUGUUGAGCAAAACUAAUCAUUCGGGCAUGGAAAGUGUCAUUGAAAAAACUUAUAAAUAUGUGAAGUCCAAUCAUCUUAAAGCUUCUUUUACCCUUAGCUUACUUAAGAAAGAAUUGAGAGAAUUUCUGCUUGUUUUUUUUCAGACUUAUAGUGGAGUAUGUUCUGCAAUGCUGGUGAAAUCAACGCUUGUUGAGAGUAGAUCCCGCGUAAUCUAGCCUACUUCGUUUGGUUGUAGUUUGUUUGUUUGUAUGUUUAUAUGUUUGGUUUUUGGGUUUGUACAAGUCAAUCUCACUCAAUCAUGCCUACAACUUGACCUAGUUGGUCAACUCCACAGAUUUAGUGAUUUUAAGUUCAAACAACAUGAUGUGUCAUUGAUUCAAGAUCAUUGCACGCAAAAUGCUCUUCAUGAAUCUCUUCAUCAUGCGAGUGGAUAUUAUCAUUGCAUGCAAAAUGCUCCCUAUAUACUCCAUCUCACUUAUAAGUUUCGUUGUACAAAUUUUUCUAUUGUUUGUCCAAGUGUAAGUGAAAUAAUAGGUUUUUCUAGGUGAACCAGGGCCGAACACAGAAAAUUGAUAUCAAAGCUUAGUUCAGAAGUCUACUUCUCAAUUAGGCAGUUGCUUGUUGAUAACGUGUAUAAAUAUUCGUUAUUAUAACCCAUUUUAUUAAAAUAACGAGGUCAAAACACAUAAGAAGAUUAUCAAAACACUUAACUUGUGUUGUAAAUGCAUAAGUAUUUAGAAAUACACUUUACAUAUGUAUUAUGCCUGUUUUACGCGAUUUUAAUGUCUAAACACGAGAUAAUGAACAAAGAAAGAAACUAGUGAACCUCAGGGAACAUCUCGCGCAAGGAUUACGUGAUACGAAACUCAUUUGGUAAUUAACGUUUUCAGGUGAGGAACAACGUUAUCAGGCGAGGAAGGGCCACAAGAAGAUAAAGAGUGGGAGUUGGAGCUGAUGUGAAGUACAAUAGACAUUUUUCGACUGAUGGCGCUGACAAGUUCAGAAGAAUAGAAGUUUUCCUCCCAAAUGUUGCCUAUAUAAAGUCAUCUCCUUCAACCUAGAAGAAGACUCCUAAAUGGGCGCAGUACCUAAAUAGGCUAAAACCCUAGAGAGUGGAGCAAAGGUAUAGCCUUUCCGUCGUCCGUAAACAUAUUCUUCUUCUUCUUUGAACAGUUGUAAAAGCGAAGGUUUGACUCCUGAGCAAGAAAGAAUCCAUACUCCCGUUGUUUCCUAACUUGUAAUAGUUUCUCAUUCUCUUUUCCCUCCAUGUUUAUACUUCUUUGUAAUAUAUGUUGCUCAUAUUGUAAAAUGGCCUAAGGCCUAUAUUCUUU
rnacentral:lncRNA from 1 species